UACGUAGGCAGCGAGCGUUGUUCGGAAUUACUGGGCGUAAAGAGUGUGUAGGCGGUGCUCUAAGUUUGGUGUGAAAUCUCCCGGCUCAACCGGGAGGCUGCAUUGAAUACUGGAAUGCUAGAGGGUGGGAGAGGUAAGCGGAAUUCCUGGUGUAGCGGUGAAAUGCGUAGAGAUCAGGAAGAACAUCGGUGGCGAAGGCGCUCUGCUGGACCAUAACUGACACUCAGGGACGAAAGCUAGGGGAGCGAAUGGG
rnacentral:rRNA from 1 species